AAACAUGUUGCUCGAAGAAGCCCAACGAUUCUGAUGUGGCUUUUUUGGAACUAUUUUUGUUGUAGGAACAAAAACAGACUACUGUGCCUAAAAUCAUACAGCGACGAAAGGGGGUCAGAACCCGUGACAGAGUUGAAAAAGAACUCUCGCAUGAUGCUGAGGACACCCCAAUGACAAGAGCAGUCACAUACAAUUUGUGCAGCUCUGGGAAUGCAUCUUUGUAGCUUUGCAAGUGUUUGCACAAAGCUGACAAGUCUGUUUCAACAGGAAAUCGUUUGCUAAGCAUAGGUUUGGCAACAAGUAUUUCAUUUGCCGGACUUACUUUAUCUGCAGUGCCAGCAAGCAAAUGUAGAGGGCUCAACAAUGUGGCAUCUAGAAAUUCACUAGACGUUGGCACAAGGCAAGAUAGAGCUUUCAUCAAGUCAACGUUUUUUUUUGGAAUAUCUAUUUUCCAUUUCAACAAUGGCCCUGUCAAGAAUGGAAAGCAAGGAUCUCUUCAGAGACUGACUGGGGAGUAUUGCAGAAUUAUCGCAGUCGGUGUGGCCCACUGUGGAAUACUCAACACUGUCAUCGAGUUGUGUAUUCAGUGUUCUUCUUCUCUUGGAAGGGUGUAAAUCACCACAUGCCUGAAACUCAUCCCUGUGAAUUGCGUUUACACAUGUCCACUGUCUGAGACUGGAGAAUAGUAUUAGCUGGUUUCAGGACACCAAGUACCCGGACUAGAAAUUUCCCUGUUUCAAAAAAAAUUGUGCCUUUUGAUUUGGACUAAAAGGCCUGCUGCCUCGGUGCUCAGAUCAGUGUUGGCAAAAUCGUCCUCUGCAAUGUCUGUUGCAAUGUCUUCAUUCUCAAUAAUGCACCUUGUGACAUCAUAAUGUCUUGUCCAUCGAAUUUCCAAUAAUCGUUUAAGACAAGGGCCAUCAUACUUCUCAGCCACGUAGUGGUGAUGGAAAAAGUUGUACAGGGAACUGGCAAAGUCAAAAAACUUUUUUCCACAUGGAUCACACUGGAUGUCAUGCACAACUGCUAAAUGUAGCUGGUGGUUAUAACUAUCAAUGUAAGGUAUAUACCGACCAAGCUUGUUUUGCAGCAGGGCUUGCACACCACCUCGUACCCCACUCAUCACUGAGGCUCCAUCAUAGCACUGACUAACUAUGUUGUCAGCAUUGUAGCCAGCAGCUAAGAGUAUCAGUAUUUCAGUGGAAAUGUAUUCAGCAUCUAGUUGAUGCAAGUCAAGCAACCCAAUCAAAUGCUCCUCUGGCAAGGAACUGCACACAAACCUAAUCAUUACAGACAAGAUUUCCACAUUACACUUGUCUCAUGUCCCAUCACUUUUAAGGCAAAAUCCUGCUGAGUCAGCAUCUGUGUAUCUCUGCACUUAAUCUCAGAAAGCACCAUAUCAGCCAGUGUUUCAAUGAUUUCAUUCUGAAUGUCAUUAGAAGUAUACUUUGCAUGUUUUGGUAUACCCUUUACUAUAUCGGCCAGAAAUGGACCUUUACUAAGGUGUAUUCAAACAAGUUAAGGAAGAGGCCUGCAGAUGUAUCAUUGUUUGACGUUUCUGUGGUUCUACGCAGCGCUUGUUCGUUUACACAGAGAAAUUUAACCACACCUCCGAUGCUUUUGACAUAAUAUCUGUUUUUUUUCCAACUGCGUUUUUCCCACUAGCAUGCAGUCUAUGGUUUCACCAGAUGCCUCCCGACAUUUUAAUUCAGACCAGGCUGCCAUAGACUGCACGUGACAGUGGCUGGAUGCAUGUUUAUGCAUAGCCCUGUCACGUUCCAGUGCUGCUUGCCAAUUGGUAUAACCAUGCGAGGUAAAAACGACAUCUCUCUCGUUAGCGACACCGAACUUACGACAGGGAAAACAGAAGCAUGCGUCCGGCAAAAUGCACGUUUGGGGUAGCUAUUUAAUAUUGGCUGGGACGGCGCAUAUAAAUUUAGGUCCAGUAUUUCGCUGCCACCGGCAAUGUGAUUCUGACGGGCCGAGGUGGAGGGAGAGGGAGACGGAUUCAUUUCUGCACCGGGAGCUGGGGAAGAUGCAGUUUGUGAAACAACAGCCACUGCUGCCAGAGCCAUUAGCAGACUUCCUUAUAGGCACCAAAAACCUAUGCAUUGCACGCAAAUACUUGUUAACUGCUUGUUAAUGUUAUCGUUCGUGUUGUGUCUCUGUCAGAAUCUGCGCAACUGAAGGGGAAUCUUGAGUGUGGAGUGUAGUAAGUUGCUUUCAGCUAAUAAAAACAGAGAAAAAUAC